UACAGGCCGGGCUCUCAGGCCUGGGUUUGGUCUGGUUUUUGGUGGGUGAAGGUACCUGACAUUGUGGGGAUGGUUGAGUCAUCCUGGAACAGGUGAAGGGUUUUACCUUGCUAAGUGUGGUGUGGGGUCUGGCUUGGUAAGGUGCAGUUCAAGUCUUCAUCCUUGCAGGGGAAAGGGUCACAGAGGUAGAUUGGGUGUGUGGAGUGUAAGUUAUUGUGGGAGAGGGGUGACUAUAGACUGGGGUUCUCUACUGUUGGGGUUGGGGGGCCAAAGUGUGACUUAAUUGGGUUGAGAGUAAACAGGAACAUAAGACAUGCAGUUGGGGGCCAGGUGUAUUUGUUGAGGUCCCUUCAUUAGUUGCUGGAAUACAGUUGUGUUGUCCCCUAGACCCCCCAUUUCCCUGCCCUGCAUCUCCUUGUUAGUUCCCAAGUUGUUCCUUUGUCCUCUGUUUGUUUUUCCAGCUCUGGUCUAUUAUGCCCUUGCAGCCAGGCAUUGUGGUCAGGCUGCUAGGGGUCUCCUGUGUGUGGCUAUGCCUGAGAUGCCUGGACUAGCUUAAGUAUUGGUGUAAAAGAAUGGGGAGGGUUUUGGGAUGGGGUGUUGGUUGUGGGGCACUGGGCUCCAACUUAGUUGGGAGCUUAGGCAGACAAGUUUUUUGAUCACAGUAGCAGUGAUACCCCCUUCUAAACGCUCACCAUGUAGCUGUGGGACAUAAGCAUCCACCUGGCCUACCUGUGGCCUUAACUCAGCUGGGGGAUCCCUUCCAACCCCAGCCAUCUACAGAGUCUGAAAUGUCUCCUUUCUUUAACACUCAUGUUUAGGCACCUAUGGCAGCUGCCUUGCAGACAGUCCACAGUGUUUCCCAUGCCCCAUCCUGUUUCAUGCUGCCUCUUUAUGUAUUGACCCCUACUGUGUGGGUUCCUUGUUACCAGAUUUGCCCAUUACUUUGGGGUGUGCUCAUUUAUUAGGGAUAGUUUCUAGGGUCUUGGUGAUUCUGUCAAUGUGCUGCUUGUGUUACUGUACGGAGAUGUAUCUCUCCCUUCUGCAAGCCCUCACCCCCAAUGGAGCUAUCUUGCAGGACUCAAUCUCAAUGGGGCUGGGUUCCUCCAGUCACCAAAUCAGUCAUACAUGCACAAACACACACAGAUUAACAUGACACUCCUGACCUGGCUGGGUUGAUCAGCAUGGACAGGCUGACACCCUCAUAUGCCAAGAAUCAGUUCAUCAGAGCAAUAAUAAACUGCAGUCACACACAAGCACACAGGUGAACAGAAUCCCUCUGAAUCCGGCUGGGUGUCCAGCUGACACCCUCAUGGGCCAGCAUUCAGUUCAUAAGGGCACGUCUGAGUCAAACUGGGACAAUCAGCCUGUACAAGCUGAUCCCUUUAUGUGUUUCAAACUCAGCACGUCCCAAUCUUUGGCCUCUUGAUGAGCAGACCCUGCAGUAUUUUUGGGCUUCACAGGGAUCUUUAGCUUAGGUAAAAGAAGUGUUGCUGCAGAGCACGGGAGGAAAAAUAAGCAGAGAAGGAAAAAUAUACCCAAUUACUACCAGUUUGACUAUAAAAGUUAUUUAUUGCUAAGCAUAUGAAAUAUAUAAUGGUACUAAUAAUAAUAGACAUGCAAAAGAAAAACAAACACAAACAAUUACAAUACUACCCUGGUUUCACUAAGUAUUUGGGGAAACUUAGCUCAAGCUUAACUGAUACAGUUCAGGUUCAGAAGUUUAUGCCUGGAGAGAAAAGAGAGAGAGAGCUGGGAUCUCACCAGUCCAAGGUACUCAGGCUGCAAAGCUGACAGGCACAGUCCUUGAAGGGAGAUGAUCUGUUCUUCCAGCAUCCCAAGAAUGACAGGGGAUGGUGUCAGCACAGGAGUUUUCUUCUUCUUUCUUCUUCUUGAAGCGCAUACACUUUUUACAGAUUUUUAUACCCUCAGUUCAGCUGCUUCGAAGCAUCCUUAAUUGUGUAAAUCAUUGUCUUUUUUAUUGACAAGGGGUUAUCUGGUUUGGACCAUCUCAAGAAACUGAUUGAUAAUCAGGAAACACUUAAGAUUAGAGAGUAACCAAAUACUUGGGAGCCAGCUUGAGAUUCCUAUGGAUGGCAGAUAUACUGAUGGGAUAUCUCAUGGUUUCUUCAGAAACAAUAGAUAGCUUGCAGCAUCAGGAUUUUGGAUUUUUACUUGUGCACAAGCCUCAGCUUAGCAUGACUUUUCCAGAUCUUACUAUAUUCUUUUAACAGACUUAAGAUAAUUAUUGGGGUGCUCAUAACCUUUUGUGGAGAGGACUCCCAUCAGUCGUCUCGGGAAAAGUAUGACAACACCUGUGAUUAGGGCUCCAACGGGCUGGACGCUGUGAUGAACCCUUAACCAUUGUUCAAAUGUUGCCCAUACCCCCUCUGACUCGGUCUCUUGCCUCAGCAUUCCCUAACCCAGCAACCGAGUUUUAGUUAAUCAAGUUUAAAUAGGCCUCCCAUAGUGGGACCGGGGAAUGUACGGCCCGAGAUGCCUAUUAAACUUAGAGGUGUGUGUGUGUGUCUGGGGGGGGAAAGUCCUUAGUAAAUCCAGAUUAGAACUGGUCUGAUAAAUGCUGAGCUGGGUGUGUGUGAACAUGGGUUGAUUAACAUUUGGAGCACAGAUUCCCCAUCAUGCAGUGCUCCCCUGCUUCUCUGGUCCCAGAAUUCACUGCAGUUUCUGCUUCAGGCUUUCUGUUCUCCAUCUCUCAUGUAAAUGAAUGGUCAUCUGGUUCCAUCUUGGAUGCAAAUGAGACCUAGGGCAGUUGUUUCACUCUCGUCACCCUUAUCUGGAAGGUCUUAGGUGUGUCUCUCACUGCAUCUUAAUCAGUUUCAUUUAUGUAGAGGAAGGGGGGGGGGGGGGGUUGAGUCAGAAAGACUGCAUCCUGUGCCAGGGUUCCCAAGAACACACAGCUGAGAUGUAACAUCCUGGUCUCUUCCUCUUUCUCCCUCACUUGCUUGUUUUGUCUAUAGUUUCCCCUAUGGUCUAUCAGGCACUGUGUAUGCUGUUCUACUACUCAUUGCGUCUUUCUCCUUUUCCCUCCUGGUUUUUCUCCCUUUGUUGCACUUCCUUUCUGUGCCUGAUGUCCUCUCUUGCCCUUUGUCCCUUGGUGUUUUUGCCUACUCUGACCCUUGUUAAUCUGUAGUCCCAUGGUCUGUCACCCCCUAGUCCUGUUUUAGGGCCCUUCUUGGUGCUUUAUCUGUCAGUCUUGCCUAAUGUCCUCUCUUCCUCUAUUUCCUAGUCCCUGUGGGUCCCCUCCGUCCUAUUUCAGCUACCUCCACCCCUUAAAUCUCACCCCCUAAUCCUGCUCCAUGUCCUGUCUUGGUGUUUUGAAUACUGGUCUUUUGUUGAUGUUGGUGUUAGUCUGUUCUUCUUCCCCAAUUCUUUCCUGUCCCUUUGGGUAUAGCCUGCUGAUAGGCAAAGUCUUCAUGUUGUAAAAUGUUUUGAGAAUCUAGUUAAAUGGCCUACAGGAUGGAAAGUUUUAGUGGCAUUGACUUGUUUGAAUGUAGCCUGGAGGUUUGGAUUGGGGAGGAAUGUAGGCUUUGGUUGUAGUCCAGGGGAUGAGAGCCUGAGAGGUGGGGCAUGAAGCCUGAUGUGGAUGGAAUGAUGAAGGGAUUGGACAGAAUGAGAGCUGGGUAUAUCCUGGGUAUUCAGGGAGAGGUGGUUUAGUUUGGUGUGGCUAAUAGCAGGUCUGGCAGCUUCUGAGCUAUGGAGAAGAGCUCUGAUUUUAAUUGGGUUGUAUCUUGAUGUUUGGGUAGUGGGACUAGUCAAGUUUAGGAGCAGACUAGAGACAUGGGAACAGCCCUAGCUUAAUUGGGAGCUCAGAUUGGGGUGUCCUCCUAACUUAGGGUAUGAGGUAGGUAUGUUGGUUGACUUCCCUGAAGUCUGCAGGGUGGAGAUACGGUGGGGUCCAUGUCUGCAGGAAGAGGUCUGGGGCCUUGGAAUGGGUCAAAGGCUCACACUUCUGGGUGUAGUCCAGGUCCUCCUUUGGCUUGUGUCUGGCCUGCUGGUCAGUUAGUACAAGAGAUGCAGUUUGGUUUGUAGGUCUAUUGGAGCCCUGGCUUUGUUUUGCUGUAGCCUCAAACUUUGCCUAGUUUGCAGGGGAGCUCUGGUUUGUGUUCAUCUUAGUGCUAUGACAGAGAAGGGGGCAAAGAUUAGUUGGGUGUAUAUGGAGGGUGACAGGUGUGGUGUGGUGGCAUGGGAGGCUACAGGUUCAGGAAGUAAGGAUCUAUUUGGUAGCAUGAUUGAGUUUAACCUGGGAUGUCUGGUGCCUCUGGUGUCAUGGCUGGUGGGAGGUGUCUUGGUUGGUUAGGGAGGUUGGAAAGUUGAAGAUCAAGUGGCAUUUGACUUGUAUGACAGGAGCUUUGGAGGGGGUUGAGAGAGCUUGUCAGAUUGGGUGGAUAGUGGGUAUUCCAGUGGAAGGAUUAGUCAGUAGACUAGGGGGUGCUGAAAUCAGAGGAGGGUGGGAUUUGGGGCUUGAGAGAGGAACCCUAGCUUGUUUGGGUGCAGCUUUGUUUGGCCUGUGACAGUGUGGCCUGCCUGGGUCAGAAGCAAUGUAGGGGCUUAGGGGGUUCUGACCGUCUUGAGUGCUGCUUGACUCAGAUUAUGCAGAGGGAGGGAGCUGUGCUGGCUGGAAGUGGCCAGGAGGUUGGGUGGGUGAGUUGCCUGCAGAUUGGGGACUUGAAAAGGGAUGAGAAGUUGUCUGGCUGUAGGUUGGGGUUUGGGAUGGAUGGGGUGCCCUUGCUUGAUUAGGUACAGCCUGGGCCUUCAGGGAGAGGAUGGUCUGGCUUGGUUUUUGCUGCAUUAUAAAAUCUGGCUUUGGUGGGGUAUUGGGUGAUCCUGGGACACGUAAAGGGCUCUGUCCUACUGAAUGCAACGUGGUUGUAUUCCAGGACCUGGCUUGGUUAGGUUGCAGUUGAAGGCUUCAGCCUGGUGAGGCCUGGCUUGAGUGUUGGAAGGAGCGUAAGCUAGUGUAGGGUAGGGGUGGCUGGGUGCUGGGGUCCCUAAUGUUAGGGUUGGGAGCAGUAGUGUAGCUUGUUUGGGUUGGUAGCAGACGGAACAUAGGGCCUGGGGUUGAGUUUCUUUCCCUAGUUGAUUAAAUCCAGUUGCAUUGUCCCCUAGACUUGAUACAUGCUCCCUUUUUUGAUCCCAAGAACUCUCCAAUCUUAGUCUUGCUGCUUUUCCCCCCUUUUUCUGAAGUGCCCCUGUCUUAACUGACCUUUCCCACCCUACCCUGAUCCUACCUCCAGUCACUUUCUGUUCCCUUCUCCUCUAGUCCUGCCCCUCUUCUGCUUUGGGUUUGCUGUCCCUCUUGGCUGCUCUGCUGCACCUUCUUCAGUUACAUGUGUAGUCACCUAACUAUGGCCUGAAUAUCUCUUCCUUCAUUUCUUUUCCUUGUGAAAAAUCUUAAUUCAUAGAAGGUUAAAAUGGAAUGGUUGUCUCCAGCAGCUAUGAAAGGGAAUUGGCCUGAAAAUUAAAUUAUACAAGUAGUUAUACGACAUGGCGGCCACUAGAGGACAGCAUUCACUGUGGAAAGAGAGACAGACAGGGGUUGCAUUGGUUUUAGAACUGAUAAGAAAAUGGUGAUGGUUAUUAUUAUUUUUUAUUUAAAAAACUUAGUUGAAAGAUUUCUGUCAAUUGCAGAAAACUGCCAGACUCUAUCCAAUGUUGAUUAUUCACAGUACAUUUUUUUUUUUCUGUUACCCUAGCAGAAAUAUGGUCGUAGGGAGGAUACUACAUGACAAAUAUGUCAACUGUUAUGUCUUGGUAUAGCGUCUUUUCUUGCCAUAUCCUUGAUGGUAGGCCAGAGAAGCAUGCCUGUACAUGUAUUGGUGCAUCACUGCAGUUUUCUUUUGUUUCCAGAAAAUACUUACCUGAUUAUACCCAUGCUCCCUAAGCUGUGUGUCUCAGUGAAUAUGGUACAUUUUACUAUGAAGUAAUUGCUUUCUAACUGGAUGGUUAAGGCCCCUGCUACUUCUUUGGGUGAAUCUGGUAUCUAGCCUUUCCUUUACUGAAUGCCAUAAACAUCUACUUAAGGAUUUGAAUUAUUUAUUAAAUAUAUACUGUAAACAUAAUCAUAUAUCUGAGACAUGCUCUGCAAUUAGAGCAGUGAUGUGUGUUAAGAUUUGUCUCCUUCAGUGUUGUUCUGCUUAUUCAUCAAAUCAUUACUUUGCGGGGAGAAGGCAUGCCUACCCAGGAUGCCUCAAAACCUGUCACUGUGCUGAUUUAUAACUUUCUCUCAUUUGCUUCAUUUGGCAUAACUUAUGUUUGGCAGUAGCUUAUAUUUCACUAGUUGAUUGACAGGCUGUGGUAAAGUACUGUCUACCCAUGUGACUUCUGAUUUUUAACUUGGCUCAGUUGUUUUCUACCUGUCUGUCAUGUGUGUCUGAAGAACCCUAAUUUAGCAUUGCCAGCAUCCUUGCUCAUCUUUCACUUGAUAGCUAGUUCCUGUGAUAAGCCUUUCUUUGGGUAGGCCAUCUGAAGGGUUACAGUCAGUAACUAUUAUUUCCCUGUAAACUUCUUUGCCCCACAUAUAACUGCCUAGCAAAAGUGUCUGUAGUACUUGCUCUCACAAGUUCCCUAGUACUUGUUCUCUCUUUUAAACUGUAUAACUGGCAUUGCACUGUUAGUUUAAACUGUGUAUAGUCAGCUUGACCAAACACUUCUUAGGGAAAAUGUCUAAUUAUCAUUUCUUAUUUAGAUUAAAAUAAUGUUACCUAUUGCUGUUCAUACCCCUGGUGGCAGCCAUGGUCCUUGUUUAGUUUGGUGCUACCUCAAGGGCUGUGGUGGGCAGUGGCUGACCUGGUUUGGGCAAGGCCAGAACUAUUAUACUGUGGCCACAGUAUUAAGGGGUGGAGAUCCAGUUUGCUUUGGGGCAGGUUUGGGGGCUAACACCAUUUCAAGUUUGGUGUUCUGUUGUGGCAUAGAGACGGAGGCAAAGCUUGUUUGGGUGCAUCCUGCAAGUUUUCACCAGGAGGGACAAAGUGUGGUUUUGUUCAUGUAGCCUGAGUGUACAGGUGACGGAGUCCUGGUUUGGUUGGAUUCCUUCUGGGAGUUGGGGGAGUGCCAUUAACUUGGGUUUGGUUGGGGGUUCAGGUAGAAGGGGUGUCUUGGCACAGUUGGUGGCAAUUGAAUGAUGGUGGUGUGGGUUUGGGAGCAUAAAUGCAGCCCUAGUUUGGUUGGCUGUAGGCUGGGAUGGCUUGAAAGAGGUGGGAGGUUCUAUGUUGUUGAAGGCAGUCCAAGUACUUGCCUUCAGAAUGUCAAUUGGUUUGGUUGCUUGGUGAAAUGUAGCCUUAGGUGAGGAUGGCUGGAUGUAGUCCUGUGUCAAAAUUUGUGGGGAGAAGCUUGUCUUAUUUGAGUUGUUAGAAACCCUGUUUUUUGGGUUGGUGCAUGACUGCAGCCUUGGGGGUAGUGUCAGGUGGCUUCAGGAGUGGAAGUCUUAGUCAGUUAGCUGUGGUAUGGGGCUUGAGAGCUAGGAGAAGUUGCUGGGAAACAAAGGUGGGAAGAGAGGAGAGCCAGGAGGAGCUGCUGAAAGACCAAGAUGAGGACAAGUGCCAGGAGAAGUUGCUGUGAGAGCAAAGGGGAAAAGAGAAGAGGCUGGAGAGGCACCUUGCCAGCCAAGGGGGACCAGUGAGAGCCAAGAGAAGACCUUGAGACACCAAGGUGGAGAGGCAAGAGAGCCAGGAGAAGCUGCUGAGAGACUGAGGUGGGGGCAAGAGAGCUAGGAGAAGCUAUUAAGGUACAUAGGUGGAGAGACAAGAGAGCCAGGAGAAAAUUGGAGCAGAGAAAGAGAUGCUGUAAGAGAACUUGAGAGAUCAGCACGGGCAGAAGAGAGGCUGGAGAAGCCCCUGGCUCCUCAAGCAAGGGACAAAAGAAUCUGAACAAGCCCUUAACAUCCCAAGGUAAAGAGAAGUGAGGCUGAUUCUUUGAUUUAACUGGAUCCUUGGAGGGGGAGACUGGCUAGACUCUGGGAUCCCUAGUAUCGGGGUCAGAGUUAAGAGUUUUCAUUGGGGUGGUGGGUGCUCAAGAUGGCUGUAUCCUGUGUAAUAUUUUGGGGAGUUCUUUUUUGGUUAGGCUGUAGUUGGGGAGAGGGUUGACAAGACAGGGUGCAACCUAUGUACUCCAGGUUGUAACUCCAGUGCUGUGAGCUUUGUGGCUUGAGAGAAGAGCCCUGGCUCCUUUUGCCUGUCUGUGUGGUUAGCUUGGGUUGAGAGUGUGGGUUCUAGGUGGAUUGACUGGUUUUGGGGGCUCAGAUUGGAGAGGGGGAUUGAUAGGUUGGGUGCAGCCUGGGACUGGGCUUGAGGCUGGUAAUAAGACUUACUUAUCUGUAGUCUGAAGACUUGGAAAAGGUGCAGUGGAGAGGCUGGGGGAUAGGGGUAGCAGUUCAGUUGCUUGUGACCUAAGGACUUGGUUUGUGGGGGGGCUCACUUGGUUGGGUGCAGCCUUAAUCUUCAAGGAGGUGAGUAGUUUGUUUGUUUUUGGUUUUGUUUCGUUUUUUUUGGGGGGGGGGGGGAGGAGGAGGGUCCUGCCAGAUACUCAGGUGGGAUAAUAAGACCUGGGGUGGUUGGAGGAAGGGUUGAAUGCCUUGAUUGUUUGGGUGCAGAUAGUGUGAUGACCUGGCUUGGUUGUAUUUGGUGUUCAGAUUUGGGCAGGGGUGGGAAGCAUCUAUGGUAUGGCCUUGUCAUGUCAUGUCUUGUCUUGCCCUGCUUUCCUUCCUGAUCUCUUCUUCCCUUGUCCUCUGUUGCCUUUCUCCAGCCUUUCUUGCUCUAUUGUGUUGUCCCAUGGACCUACCUAGUUUCCUUUUUUUGGUCUGUUGACCCCUGGUCUGCAGAGCUCUCCUUGUGGUUCCUUUGUUCUUUUUCCCUAGUUGCCCCCUUCUCCUGCUUUGUGCCAUCCAUCCUACUGGUUGUUUGAUUCACCACAGAUGGUUUUCCUGGCCCAGUUUUUUCAUCCUGCUUUUUGUCCCCCAGACCUUCUUUGUUUGCUUGCUUCUGAUGUGUCGUACCACUGUUCGUUUGUUCCUGUUCCCACCUCACUUGCAGUCCUGGUGCCUCAGUCCUGUUUCCAUCCUCCACUUGGCAGAGUCCCCUUUUGCCUCAUGUCCCUGCUCUCUGGCAUCCCCUUCUCCUGUUGCAUUUCCCCUCCUGGUCUGUCAUUCUUUUGAAUAUCACCACCACUGCAUCUCUUUUUCUAAGUCCACUGUUCCUUUGUCUUCCUUUUCUUCCAGUCUUGAUCUGUCCUCUCCAUCAAAGCUGAUAGUAGCCUUCUGUUCAUGGCUGUUCCUGAGGCUGCUGGAGCUUCCUGAGCUAGCUGAAGUGUUAGUGAUGGAGAGUGGAGAAGGCGUGGGGCUGAGUUGGCUGGUGAGGGCAGAGCUUCAACAGCUAAGUGAAGGGCUGAGGUAGGCAGGGCCCUUGAGCACAUUGGUGGCAAUAACUGUUUCAGACACAGCUCCUUUAACUGUGAGACAUAAGCAUCCACCUGGCCUACCCCUGUCCUCAAGAGCCUGACCUACCUGUGUCCUUAACUUGGCUUGUGUAAGCCCUUCCAGCCUUAGCCAUGAACACAGCCUCAGACCUUCCCUGGUCUUCUGUGCUAGUACAGGGAGUCCUCGACUUGCAACGUUUAUAGAUUGACACCCUAUUUCAACUUUGAUGUCAGUUUUGACUUUACAAUGCUUGAUCUGACAUGACACCACGCCACCCAUCUGCCUGGAGAACGUCUAUCCAAACUUCCUUGGACACUUUCUUUAAGAAAGCAGACAAGACUCCAGAAAAACCUGCAGCCAAGACUCCUGAGAAGACUCCAGCCAAGAGCCCUUCAAAAAGUCCAGCAAAGUCACCUCAAAGAAGUCCUUCCAAAUCAAUAGGAUUGCUAGUUACAAUCUAAAUACAUGAAUGUAGCUAUAUUACUCAUCUAUAAUAGAUUGAGUACAAAAUUCUGGGGUAUUUUUAGUGAAAAUAGGGUAUUGGGCCUUGGUUCAAGAACCAAUUCACUAUUUAUAACAUUGUUUCUUAUGAGAAAAUUGGUUCUGAGUUGCAACGUUUCGACUUGUAACACAAUUGGUUCCUGAAAACUGUCUUAUGUCCGAGGACUGCCUCUACUUCAGCCAGCUCAGGCAGCCCCAGCCACCUUCAACCAAGCCCACAGUAUCCCUGCUUCCCUGUCCUGUUUCAUACUGCCUCUUUGUCUGUCCAUCCCUACUUUCUGGGCUGUCAGUCUCUUCCUUCCUUCUCUCUUCAUUUCUUGCUUUAUUUGCAGCUCCCAUUCCCAUAAUCCCUCCCCCCCCCCCCAGGUGUUUCUCACUCUCCUUCUGGUGUUUGUGUCCUUCUGCCUUCUUUCCCCUCAGUUUUUCACCCCUGCCUUUUUCUGCUUUUUCCUCUUCUCCCCAUUUCCCUUGCUGGUAUCUUGGGCCUGGCCUGACCCUUGUCAUGUUCUGUCUGUUCCUCCCUGCUUUUAUCCAAUCUCUGCCCCAGGUCUGCUGUCACCUACUCUUGCUUUGGUCUUCUCUGGGGGCAUUAUCUAUCAGUCCUGGCUCAUGAAUCCUUUUUUCUAUCUUUCCUGGUCCCCUCUCCACCCCUCUGCUUUUCCUGCCACACUUCACCUUCUUGACUCCAUAGUCUUGCCUCAUUUCCUGUCUUGGAUUCUAGUCCUGGACUCUUCUUUUUCCCCUCUGCUCCCUUUUGUGCCUUUGGGCUUAGUAUGGGUUUUUUAAGAGACUGCAUUUGAUAAAAGUUUAGGGAAAUUCAUGAAGCUGACCUAAAGAGUGGAGGUUUUGAUGGCAUUAUAGUUGGGAAGCUUUAAAAGCGGGUAGCCUUGGGCUUCUUUGGUUGCAGGCCAGUGUGAUUGUUCGGUGGUUGGUUUCAAUGGCUGCAGUUAUGGGGGUAGGAUGAUGUAUGUUUGGGGUGACUAUCAAAUGUGACAGACCAAGUGCUGGGUUGCUUGUUGCAUCCUGGGUGUUUAGGGACCAGAGAUGUGGGGUGGAAAAUUUUCCACAGAAAAUUCCAAAAUGGAAACUUUUCCAAAAAAUUUUCCAUUGCUUUUAUUUUUCUGUGGGAAACUUUCCAUGUCUAAAAAUUUAUUGUUUCAUAAAAUUAAUUAGUAACAAUGAAUGGAUGCCAAUACAAUAUUAGGCAAGCCUGGCAGUUUCAAAGUUGUAAUUUGAUGUUUUUCAAGUGAUUAUCCCUAGGAAGUAUGUGAGAGAGUACAUAUGUUUUAUUGGUUUAUAAACAGGAGGGUAAAUACACUCACAUAAUAAUACAAACCAAAAAUCAAGUUAUGAAUUCCCAUAAUUGGCUGUGCACACCAAAUCAAAAACAAAACACGACAUCUCAUGCACAGUUCUUUGGGUGUACCUAAAAUUAGUGUCACCAGUUUUCAGUACCUUUUUGGUUUUUUUCUUACACUGUUUGUUUAAAUUUAAGGGGAAGUACAUGCUAUUGUGCAUUGUUUUUACAUUUUUACAAAUGCUCUAAUAAAAAUAAUUUGUUUCCACAAACUUUGAAUUUGCUUGAAUAUAACAUUUAAACCAAAUUAAGUGUGCUGUAUUUAAUUUUUUUCCCCAUAUCAAAUAUUUCAAUUCAAAUACUUAUGGCUAUUGGGACAUAAAACAUGGGGAUAUUUUUUAGUUUUGUUUACUACAUGCAAGUCAAAUAAACACGCUAAAUCAAUCAUGCUCUACUUGGGACACUGGAAAAUUUUCUGGAAAUCUUUUCCAACUCAGUUUUCUGGAAAACUCACAUCUCUGUCAGGGACAGGUGUCUGUUUGGUGAUGGGUAACUGAGGGAGGUUUAGCUUCUGAGCUCUAGAGAGGAGGUUUGACUUAGUUGGGUACAAUCUUGAUUUUUGGGAUGUCAAGGGUGGAGCCUGCUUCAGUUAUUAGGGGAACCCUUGGGGGUUCUCCUUGGCUGGGAGCAGCUUCUAUGUCUGGUUAGGCUGCCCUUGCUUGUUGGGUGGAAGGCUGGUUGUGUGUGCAGCCUGGGGACUUGCAGAAUUGGGUUGGAGGUUGGGGGUGCUAAUUCUCUUAGCUAAGACCUGAAGAUUGGGAUGGGUAGUGGUCUCUUUCUUGCUUGGGUAUGGCCUGGAUCCUCAUUGAUUGGGUGCUCUGGCUAUGGUUUGGCCUGAUUUUUCAGGUGGGCUCAAUGAACUUGACUUAAUCUUGCAUCUGGGGGAGGGGCUGACUUGGCUGGGGACAGGUAUGGGUUGCAUAAGUUGUCACAGGGUUGAGGUAUGUAGGCCUGCUUUGCUUCAGUUCAGGCUUAGUCAGGUUGGGGAUAAUUCUGAUUUGUUUGGCCUUAUAGUGUGGCUUGAAGAUGGGGCAAAGCUUGGUGGGUACCUCCUAUGAUGUGGUAGUUGUGCAGAGUGUCAUUAUGUUGGUACAGGCUGGGGUCUUGGCUUAGGGGUGCUUGUGCCCAGUGUUUACUAGAUGCACCUUAAGAGUUUUGGGGGAGUGUUUUAAAUGGUUUGUGUGGUCUUUAGGCUUCAGAAAGCAUCCCUAGUUUGGUUAAGUGCAAUCUUGUUGUUUGAGCUGUGUGGCUGGGAUCAGCCUGUGUCAGCAGAAUCUUGGGCAGCCUAGGAGCUUUUUGCUCCAUUAGGGGCUGCUUGGGUGUUCAAGCAAAGGUAAGGUCAGAUAAGUUAGAGGUCUUGAGGACAAUGGCAAUGCAGGUUGGUGCUUCUCCAUGUCUUGGUGAAGGGUUUGGGGAACAGGGUUUUCGGAGAGAGACUCCCUUCUGCUCUAAUGGCAUUUAAUGCAUCUGGGGGUUUCACAAUUAGGUUUGAGGAAUGUUAGUCUCCAAUCUAGACUUAGUGGUUCAGCUGCUCAGGGUCUCCCACUUGGAGCCUUGUUGGCAGUUACUCGGGUGCCUAAACUAGUUGAAGUGUUUGUGUUAACGAAUUGGGCUGUUUGGGCUGUGUUUUAUUGUUGGAGCAGGCCUGACCCCCAAGCGUGGCUUUGGUAGUUGUCCCGACGGGUUGCAGACCUUUGUUAAAGGGUUCACUGUGGCAAAAUACAGCCUGUAGUCUGGAACAGCUUUCUUGUACCACUGAUCCUCAACAGCCUUUUCAGUUUAAAGGUGUAGUCUCCUAAGUAUGGCCUGAAUAUCUUUUCCUAUUAUUUUUUCAUGGUGAAAAAUCUUCACGUACUAGAAUGUUAGAAAGGAACAACUAUCCCUAGCAGCUAUGAAAAAGUGUUAUGAUCAGGCCUACUUGAGCUGUUUAAACACAUAAUGGCAACUAGAGGGCAUCAUUCUUUUAAAAGCACAAACAGACAUGCAUUGCAUUAGUGUUAGAUCUAAUAAAAAUGGGAAUUAUUAUUUUUGAAAAGCUUAGCUGAAAGAUAUCUGGUGUCUUUUAGAAAACUGUCAAGCUCCAUGUCCAACCCCAUUUAAUACAGUACAUGUCUGCAUUAGUCUGUGAGUCUAGUGUGGAUGUUGUAUUUUUGGAGGGUACAAAUAUGUAAAUUACUAUGUUUUGGUAUAGAGUCUUUUUACUAGAAUAUCCUUCACCAGAGAUACAGGAUGAUUUAUCUUUUGUGAUGACGUGUUUGGUUUAAAAAAAAAUGUUCAUGCUAUGUGUGUUCAACAUAUAUUUUUCUUUCUCCACUAUUGCAUUUAUUGAUGGAUCAUGUGGGCAUUUUGAAAUCUAGCGCAUGUCUGUGCUUGUACUGCUGCAUCACUGCAGUUUUCUUUUUUUUACAUGCAGUCACUACUUCCACUGAUACCCAUACUUCCUAAGCUCUGCGCUUCAGAUACUGAUUAAGACAUUUUACUCUGAAACAGCUACUCUCUACCUGGAUGUUUAAGGCCCUUGGUACUUAAUUACAUCAAUCAGAUGCAUAGUAUUUCCUGUACUAAAGACAAACAUCUGCUUAGGCUCUGAAUUAUUUAUUAUGUAUACCAUAAACAUAAUGUACCUGAAGUGCACUCUGUAAUAAGCAGUGAAGCGUUUGUGUUAAGGUCUCCAUCCUUCAGUGUUGGUACGAAUCUUAAUAACUGGGUUAUGAAGUAACAUCAUAACUUUGUAGGGAAAACGCAUCCAUAUUUAGUGUGCAUCAGAAACUGUCACUUCCCCAUAAAAUGAAAUAAUGGCCUGCCGCAUUUUCAUUUCUCUAUCUCUUGCUUCUUUUAGCACACCUGAUCUCUGGCACUUUAUAGGUCACCAACUUACAGACAGGCUGUGACAUGGGUAGACGGCACCAUACCAAUUUUUUAUUUUGCUUUUUAACUUGGCUCUUUUCCACCUUCCCCUUCCUAUGCAUCUGAAGAGACCUAAUUUGACACUGGCAGCAUAUUUGUGCAUCAUUCUUUUGAUACAUUCGCUGGAAAGCCUGUCUUAUCAGGACCUCUUUUAGGGCUCCAAAGGGCCAUAAUCUGCAAUCAUUUUAUUUUCUGCUGUUUGUCAUGACCCAAAGGUCUGAUUUUUUGUGUGUGCUUCGGCACUCGAAUUAUCCCCGUGGGUUUACAGCUUCAUUGCACGGAGGAGUUCUGCUGCGCAGAGAACCCGCGUGCAAAGGAGUGUUCCCGCCACUUUGCAGCGGUCUUUGCAGGGUGCAUUUCCUUUGCAACACAGAAAUGCAUGGUGCAAAGGAGUUCCUGCUUGUCAUAUGCAAAUUUGUGCCCCGCAAUUGGCUAGUGCUAAAUUAUUCACACGUGGCUGCUAGCGAUUGGCCUGCUAGCCAUAUAAGAGGCUUGAGCAGUUUCUACCCAAGCCGAAGAGGACUCUGCAUCCAUCUCGUGGGGACUCUGGGUGUGCGCGGCAGGGUAAUAGAAACCCUGUGUGUUGCUCAGAGGAGUUUGGCGGCCUGAUCCACCGCCCACCUCUUCCCGUCUUCGAACGGAGCCUACUAUAAGACGUAUCGACGAGUUUUAUGCGCGCUUGUCCUGGACAUCCGGAGUUCUGUCUGCGUUGAGCCUAGCAAACUCCAUGUGAUUGUUCGUGUUCUGUCUGCGUGGAGCCUAGCAAACUCCACGUGUGUUCGUGUUUUCUGUUGUAACCGCAACUCAAGCAAGUUCUCAGCCUGCACCGCGACCAUCUCGGUGUAAGUAAACAAUCUUAAAAUCAACCGUUAAGUGUCUGUGCCUAAUUCUAGCUCGGCGCCCGCCCUCUCCGACCCGGCCUGCCCGGGCUGCCGGCCACAGCCCGCGUGCAGAGCGACAAAAAGGGCCUGGGGUCUGACCCCGCCUGCACACUGUUGUUUUCUUGAAACUCUUUUGGUGCCAAAUGUUUCAAUUGUGGGUCUAUUACAGGUCCCUGUAAAUGUUUCCUCUUAAACUGUAUAAUUGGUGUUAUGCUAGAGUUAAAUUUACAGUACAGGAUCAAAGGUAGUAGGGCUGUAAGUGACUGCAUAGUCAUCUUAUCCAGCCCCCUUCUCAAGACAGGGUCAUCUGCAACUAAAUCUCCCCAGACAAGUAUCUGUCUAACCUGCUCUUGAAAAUUUUCCAGAAAGAGAUUCCAUAGUUUCUCUAGGUAGCCUGUUCCAUUUCUUGACCAUCCUCAUAGUCAGAAAGAUCCACCUUAUCUCUAACUUUACUUGGGAGGUAUUCAGUUCUAUGGCAGCCUGCCUUCGGUGUGCUGGGAUUGGUCCUUCUUCUGGGGCUCCUACCUACCCUACACCCUGACCAUGUGCCACCCAGAUGUUAAAGCGUUGGUCUCGCCCUUGGAUCUGACCAGGCAACCUCCUUUUUUUUUGGACUUGUAGGAUCGUGGUCUCCUUGAGCCCAUCUCCCCUGUAUGAUAGCCACCUGAGCUCAAACCGUCCCCUGUUGGAGUGUUGUGAAUGAAAGCAGAACUAAAGAAGAACACAAGACAUUCAACUUAAACUCAGCUUUCUGACGUCAGUUUUGACUUUACAACGCUUGAUCUGAUGCGAUGCCAUACCAGUGAACAAGUUUACUGCGUCACUCAUCUCCCUGGAGAGCAUCUGUCCAAACUUCCUUGGACACUUUCUUUAAGAAAGCAGACAAGACUCCAGAAAAACCUGCAGCGAAGACUCCUGAGAAGACGCCAGCCAAGAACUCUUCAAAAAGUCCAACCAAGAGCCUUUCAAAAGUCCAGCAAAGUCACCUCAAAGAAGUCCUUCCAAAUCCAUGUGGUUGCUAUUUACAAUAUAAAUACAUUAAGGUAGCUAUAUUACUCAUCUAUAAUUGAUCAAGUACAAAAUCCUGGGGUAUGUUUAGUGAAAAUAAGGUAUCGGGCCUUGGUUCAGGAACCAAUCCCCCAUUUAUAACAUUGUUCCUUAUGAGAAAAUUGGUUCUAAGUUGCAACGUUUCGAUUUAAGACACAGUUUUCAGGAACCAAUUGUGUCGUAAGUCCAAGGACUGCCUGUAUUACUGUUAGACUCACUCACAAUGCGUUAUGCACAAUACUUACUAUGUGUAAUGCAUUGUUUACAUACUAAAAAAGUAAGAAAUUAAGGACUUUAGAAUUCACAAAGGAAUUUAGAAAUCCAACAGGGACUAAAAUUAAUGGGUGUUGUGGGUGAGAUUUGGAAGCAUCUCAGUGACUUUAAGACUACAAGUGCCAGUAAAAAUCUUUCUCUUAGGACAUGUGCUCCAAAACCAGUGAGGUAUUUUUGAAAAUCCAACUCUGUGCAUCUACAUCUCUUCAUCAGCUUUGGAGCAAGGACUGUGGUCAAGACUUUCAAAGUCCCCACAGUGUAAAACAACACAUGAAGGAUGAGUAAUUCAAUCAAAUUAUUUAAUUGAAAUGAAUAUAAAUCAGUAAUUGAUCCACAUAUUGCCUCAGUAUGGCAGAUUCAAUACUAUAUUUGGGAAGGGGUAGGGACAUGGGCUAGUCACAUAAUUUAAUCUAGGUUUAAGCAUGAUAAGGAUACCCGCAACUCCAGUAACCUCAAUUUAUCUAACUAAUUAUGCUCUUUCUGUAUAACUCCACGACUUGCUGAAUAAUUGUGACAUUUUUCCUACCCCUUGUUUCUGGCACCAGCUGAAUCUGCCUAAUAUUGUAUUUUUUUCCUGAGAUGCUUUGCUUAGACUGCUGAAUACAAACAAAUACAAAGAUCUCUGCAACUCUAUAAAAUAUGUUCUGCUGAUAUAAUUGCCAGGAAAUAGAAAUGGAACUCUCUGUCAUCUGUUUCAGAAUGUCUGCAAAGAUCAUUAUGUGCACUUGAAGGGCUGUGCAUGGAGAUAAUUGUUCCAUGCAUUCUGCAUCUUUAAAUCCCUAUUCCUGAAUGCAGCAGCUGACAGCAGACAAAAAAGUUACAGAGCCAACAAGAAGUGAUCCUAUUUUAGACUUCAUUGAGGGGACCAUAGAAGAAGUUAUAGAAAGUAACCUUAGAUCAGGUGAGUAAGUUCUGCUUAAAUGCAGUGAUACAUGUGCAAAGUGUGCCAGCAACAUUCAUAUUAAGCAAUGGUAAAAGCUUGGGGGGAAUGGCUUUAAACCAAACCAAAUGAAUAACUUCAUGAAACAGGAGGUUAUGGGUAUGUAGAGUGCCUACAAGAAAUGGGAAAAAGGGGUUGAUUAUUAAAAGGAAGCUACAGCAGUCAGGUAGUAUAGGGAUAAAGUAAGAAUUACCAAUAGUCAGGCUGAAUUGCAAAGGAAAUUAUAACAAAGAGCAAGUCUUCUCUAACCCACAAGGCUCUUCAUUUUCUGUUUCUUCUAAACAGAACAAGAAAUAAAGAAAGGGGGUUGCUAUACAGUAAAAAGGAGGCAGAGAUUUAAAAUUAGUCUAGGUGUGAUGCAAAGCUAAAUGCAUACUUGGCUUUGGUUGUCAAAGUCAGGAUGACUGAAGAAUGGGGGAGUUAGGUGAUGUCUAUGCCAGACAGAAGUAACACAUGAAAUCACAUGUCUGGUAGACAGGAUGUUUAAUGAAUUUAUCAGAUCAGGACUGGUAUCAUGUAAUUGGAGAAUAGCUAAUAUAUUACCUAUAUUUUAAGGGAGAGAAGGGAUGGGUGGGAACAGGUGGAAAUUAUUUCAAGUAAUUUACAGACUGACUUCAACAGCACACAAAGUUUUAGAAUACAUCCUAAAGGAAACAGUAAUUUAAAGCCAUGAAAUAUAUAUAUAUGCAAUAAAUUUCAAUAUGGAUUUGUCCAAGGUAAUGAGCUGGCUUUCUUUGAUAAGGUAACAUAUUUUCUAGCUAAGGAAAAUGCAGUAGGUAUAACCUAUUUGAAAACUUCAUUGAAACAUUUGAUGCAGUGCCCCAUGGAAAAAAAUUACCAAAACUGGAGAAGAUAGGAAUUAGUACAAAAAUUAUAAAGUAGGAACCGGCUAAUGGGGUGGCUAAAACAAGUUAUGCUAUGAGGGAACUAUCAGACAUCACUACAGGAUUCCAUCAUCUUUGACUAGCUCAUUUUGUAUCUUAAACAGUAAAGUAGACCAGGUAUGCAAGUAUCUCUAACUACUUUACAUAUUCAAAGCAUUUUCAAGUAAGCGAUGAACCAUAUGCUUAUGAAGUCAUUGCAGCCAGUGAGUACUUCAGAGGAGGAUUGGAUUCCAGUGGAUUCAAGUAUAUCCAGUAUUCUAUAUGUGCCUUGCUCUUAUUUCUAUAACAGUAUAAUGCUAUAACCUAGCCAGUUCAUUAUUACCAUUGUUGCUGAGUGUUUUAUAUCUACUGUUUCCCUAGUAACUGGUGUACUGAACAGCAUUUAUUUUAUGGUGAAAAGUAUUUAAGGUAAAUGUUGAUUUUCCAAACCAAUGCACUGCUUUCCUUGACUGUAGAGCAUCCAACCCCAUUCAGGAUAGGCCAGUCAAAAAAUAAGACUUCUGCAAGGGUAUUUAAUUCAAGUCCUUUCCUUCUGGCCAUUGUAUAAAUGCCUUGAGGAUAUGCUUUUCAGCUUCUAACUGUUUCAGCAAUAUGCUGGCAGCUUGACAGCGAUUCUCUGUGGAACAAGUUAAAAAAUCGUCUUGUCUUUGGUACUGGAGGAGACAACUCAGCUUGCUGAGAUACAAGAUUUGGGGAAAAGCUAGGGGUUCUAACACACAUUUGCUAUGGAGCAAAUGAACUUAACUUCUUAGUAAAAUGAAGCAGAAAAAUAAUGCACAGCAUUAUAUUGAUACAGGUCACUGUGCUCUGGCAUAAAGAGACCCUUCGAAAGGAAAAUUAGCUAUAUACUUGUGCAAGUUACAUUGGUGUAAUUUGGCCCAUCAGUCAUGUGUCUUUCUUUUGCAAGGUCUUAACCCAGCAGGGAUAUUUCCUUAAUGCAAACCAGCUCUUCUACCCCCAAGUGGCAAACUGAGGAUAGCCAACUGUGUAAAACUGGUCACAUGUCCAAAUUAUUCCUACACAGCAAAAUUACUAGAGAGUAAAAUCAAAGCCAAAUUACUCUGUAGUAACUCUGUUUGCCCCUGAUUAUUUAGGGUUCAAGUGGAAAACAGAGUCAUCCAUAUGCUACAAAUGCCUACUUUGGAAAGCAUACGUUUGUCAACAAUCAAAGUAAAAGUGAGCGAAGGUCUUUGGAUAAAUAAAAGGCAGAUGGCAGAAGCAGGUCAAAGAGAGAAAUGGUACCAUUUUCAUCAGCUACAAUAAACCGACUCAAUAAUAGGAAUUUCUAUGAAUUUCAAGCAGGCAAACAGGUUCUGCAGUGAGCAGCUAAAGUAACACAUUUCUCCAUCGAAGCCUCAAUUACUGCCAGGUAUCUAGGAGCAGAUAUAUUCUUACAUUCCAGCCAUUGCUUGCUUCAUGUCAACCUUAUAAACUUUGUGUCAGGGGCUUCAUUCGUAUGCGUUUUUCACUGCACUGCUGUUCCAGAAGCUGACAAGUUUAGUAAAGAAACAAUCUCAAAGCACGCUGGGGGACUUCCACCAAGCCCUGAAAAACAAGAGUUGAUGCUAACAUGUCAGGGGAGUUCCUUGAGAGAGUCUUUCAGGAAGCUGGGGUUAAAUUUUGUGGGUUCCACUAUUUCAGGGAGAGAUGCUUUUAACAAAAGGAUGUUGAUUAAUAAGGAAAUUAUGAUGCAUAGUACCUCAAAGCCUGGAAACCCAAAAUUAUAAGUGACAGGAGUUUUUCAAAAUCUUUGGAUCCAUCAUCCAAUUACUGAAGAAGGGAAGUUAUCCCCUCAAUCUUGUUCUUUGUGAACCCAAUCUGCCCUCCCCCUUCUCCCCCAUGCUGAUCACCAGAUGUGUUUGUAAAGUCCUGUCAAGAUUCUUGAUGAUUAGGAAGAGAAAGCAGGAACAACGCUUCAGUGGUGGCUAAAUUCACAAGAGAGACCCUUAGUUUCUUUUUAACGGAUAGCGUGAGACAUCAGUAAGGCCUGUGUGACAAAAGACAUCAGAGUUGAUUUCUGGCCUGUAAGUUUUGACCUACUGAAUACUGAAGAACCCAGUCCUGAAUACUUCAGCCUCCCUCCACAUGUGUGCUGAAAUAAUAGGCUCCUGAAGUUCCAUGGAUGAAAGAUAAUGCAGUCGUGGCCCAGAUUAUAUUUCCUGGAGAUUCUCCACAGUGCUGGAAGGGAGACAGUUUAUAACCCACCCAGUUGGCCAUCCAGCUGUCUGCCCUCAUUGCCCCUUCUCCCAAAUAGAAACCCUUUGUAGUGUCCAAAAGAAAUGGAAAAUAUGAUUCCUCCACCUAUACUUUCUGUUCAUAGAAAAUUGCCUGUUUCAGGUCUAAGGGCAGCAUUUGAGCCAGUGUUCUGAGACUGAUAUCUUUUACUGGAUUGACUACAGUGUUGGGAUGGAGGUAGACAAGCAGUCAAAUGCAAGACAUUCACUCUUUUGACCUGAUGAAAAAUGUCUUGCAUUCAAAAGCUUCGCUAACUCCAUCCCAAUUAUGCAGAUGUUCCAAUAAAAAGAAUCACCCUAAUUGCCUCUCACAUAAUUCCUGGACCAUCCUAGCUACAUUUCCAUUCAGUGUGCUAUGGUGACAUAGCGAUCACAUGGGUCUACACAUGAUCACCAGCUACGUCGCCAUAGCAGUGUGCUACCUGAUUAUAGCUCACUGCUAUGGUGAUGUAGCAGCAAAAUCUAACCAUGUGCUGCACGCAUGGCACAGUAACUGCCCAUACCGUUGUAGCAACAUCACUGUACAAAGACAUGUAGACAUGCCCUAAUGCCACCAGUGCUCUGAAAAAUGAUGUGAUUAUUACCAUUCAUUAUUAAUUUUUAUACCUUAUGUAGCAUAAUUAAAUGGAAUAGUAUAUUUUUGUAGAACAGGAUCAUGGUCUCAACACAUUUGAGUUUCAUGACUCGGAUCUUGUUGCGAUUGGUAGGUGGAUAUUAUCACAAAAGGAGAAAGGAGAUGUUUCAAAUGGUAGCAAAUGGAAAGAGCAGUGAGAUCGAUGGGAAGUAUUACUGAAGGCACUCCAAGAGGGAUUUGUCUUACAGCCUGAAUGGGUAGCCUGAAAUGUGUUUCAUGUUUCUUCCUAAAAUGGGUACUACAGCUCUUCUUUUCAGUCAACGUCUCAGUCCUUAAAAUAUGCUAAAAAGUGGGUUUGAUCUCAUUGAAGUCUGUAGGAUUUAGUUCAAAGGGACACAGAAUGUCUUUCACUAAUGGAAAUGGUUAAACUUUAGCUGCAACCACUUUCUCAUGUAAGAAGCAACAAGAAAAAAAUCUCACAGCCUAUUCUGAAUGAUGUCUUUUGUGACAUCAGCAAUGGGUGACAUUAAAAUAUAGUUACCUACAUAUUUUCCCCAGUAAAGGAUGAGCUGAGCCCAAGGUGUUUGGUAGUAUUUAAAGAAUUAUAUAGACCAGCAGAGAACUUGUCCUAAAUGAAAUGAAAAACCUUCCUGCAGAAGACAAUGUUCUGGAAUGAUAAAUGGUUGCAUCUUCAAGUAAAAAUCUAGGUAACCAAAUUCUAUAACUCAAAUUGCUUUAACUCUCUUCAAAUUCAAGUGCUUGGAAAGAGAAUCAGGAAGUCCCAGGUCUGGACUAGAGACUACAACAGCUUACUGAUAUCAGCAAUUCUGACUGGUGUAGAGUCAGUUCAUGAUUUACUGCAAUGCAGCUAGUCCUAAGAGAAUGGGAUUUCCUUCCAUAAAAUAAAACGGAGUAAGCGACACUGCUAUUCAAAACUGUGUGUGAGAUUUAGGCAUCAUCUUGGGAUAGGAUGUAUUAUGAGUGGAACUAACAAAUCACCCAUUUUUGUGAUUUGUUACUUUUUUUCCCCCCUCUGAUACACAGGAAGAAGAUGGGUCUCUGGUGCAGUUAAAAGCCAUAAAGUCUCAACACACAGAGGAGGAUUUAGGCAAUUAUUGAUUUUGCUAUUCAAGUAGAAAGAGUAGUUACCAUAGCAACCAGCAUGGUAUGUAUAGCAUCAUUGGUUCUAAUAUGUAAACUCUCUUUUUAAAGAAAUUCAUUCCUAGACUGGUGGCCUUCCAGAAUGCAUUUUUAGCUUACUUUACAUUACUUUAAUUGACCAGCCAUGCUGCACAGCAGGGGAGAAGAAGGCUUCCUGUUGAUAGGGGGUUAAAAUACAUGGGGGUUAUGAUUUUAACAAUAAUUGAUUUUAACAAUAGGGGGUUAAAAUCAAUUGGUUCUCUAUACUACUUCCCCAAUGUAAGAAAAGCUGUAGUUGGCUCAUAAGAGAUAGUAAGCCUGUGAUGGCCUGUGGGAGUCCACAGGAUACUAUCAGGAUGUCAUGGUACAUACUGAGAAUGUGCCUCGAGGGUCUGGAGCAGCAUAGAAAGACCCUUCAUUCGACCUGCUGAUGAUUCCAUUUUAAACACAUGCACAUACUGCCCAAAUGGUAGGAGCAAAGGGUCUCUCCAUUGCUCCUAGUUUCAUUGUACUGCCAUGACAUGCACUUGUAUGCUACCUGCUUGUAGCCUUGAAGGGUGUUGACAUGUUUGUGUGGGGCUGUAGAUGGGUCGAGUAGCACUGUUGAGUGAGAUCCAGGCUAAAAGAAUGUACUUUUUUUUUUGUAACAUAUGCUAAAUCUGGUCACAAUGAGAGAGGAGAAACUACCCUUGAGACUAUUUUAAAAAAUGCUUUUACCAAAAAACAAAUAAAUGGUACCUCAGCUGGUUUAGCUCA